AGAGUGUGCCAACAGCUUAGAUAUAGAGUGUGAGAGAGAAGAGUGGAGGCUGGUUCUCAGGCUCCAGAAGCAUAAGCCUGCGUGGAGCACAGCGUCACUGAGCAAGACAGGUGUGGAGGAUGAGAAGCGGGCCACAGGAUGGGAAGGGAAUCUGUGUGGAGACGGUGCCCUAAACAUGCUGCCUUGAGGAGGGACCUCUGCAUGGGGUGGCCGGGCACAGCCAGUUGCACAGGGUACCUCAGACCCACAUCCCAGAUGACAUUCCUCAGAAGCUCGCAGCUGGAGAUGACAUCACCUUAGACAACAUCACCCUAGCCCAAGACAUCGCUAUUAGAGAUACAUCACCUGGACACUAAAGCCUCCACCCCAGUGACACUCUCAAGGUGCUGACAAAAUGGACAUGGACAUUUGUUGCUUUUCUUCUUUUGAAUUAGGAACUCUAUUGUGUUUCCUGAAUUUACUGUCUGCUUGGCCCGUGAUCCUGGUAUGUUCCUUGCUCUCUGCCAAAACAUGCACCCUCCCCUCCACACCUAAAGGAAAACCUGGUAGAAGCUACUACUCUCAAUGCCAUUCUAAAAUUGACGAAGAGUAUUAUUUUCCCCAAGAGGCAGCUGCUGCAGGCCAGUGAAUCCUUUGGACCCUGGGGAGAGGGUCAUACACUCCCUAGUGACUUCUACUCUACCCUCCAGCUUUCCGCCAGGACCUCCUGCCCUGUCCCCAACUGUAACCACCACAACCACCCCAUCCCGUUGGUUACACACAAAUAUCACCAGUCUUUACAUGUACUUUACUGACUUCUCAGAUCAUACCCUCCAACAAGAUAACUGCAGGACUUGCUACCAUGACCUGAGAAAUACACCAAGAUAUUAUUGUCCAAUUUUUUUGAGAUAUAUAUAUAUUUCUCAUACUUUUAACAUACUCUGCAAUCCACCAAGAUAUUGGUAGAGACCCUGGAAAUUUCAAAUCUAUUUCCUCUGCUAAUGCCAUGUGAAUAGGAAACUUAGAUACAGGCUGGCCUACAAGGACUCCUUAUACUUCAAUUUUUGUUCCUCCUUUCAACUCUCAUAAAAAAUAUUUUCUAUACUA
rnacentral:lncRNA from 1 species